AUGACAAAAAUAAAAAAACAACUUAUUAAAUUAUUAAAUUUUUAUCCUGUAUAAAAUUUAUGAAAGUUCUUUUUUAUAAAAAUUAAAAAUGCUAUUAAAAAAAAAAAAAAAAAACUAAUUUUUUUUUUAACAAUAUAUACUUCCUUUAAUUUAUAUAGAAUCCAUCAAUGAUUUAUCGCUAAAAACAAAUAUAUAUAAAUAAUGUAAAUUUAUAUAUUUCUAUUUACUAUUAUAAAAAACAUCAAUAAUUUUACAAUAUUAACCCUUUUUUUAUGUUUUCAUUAUUAUUAGUCAUAUUUUUUACAAAUUUAAUACUGUUAAUUAAAAAAAAAAAACCAAAAAAAAAAAAAAAAAAUAAAAAAUUAAAAUGAAAAAAUCGUAUAUUUCAUUGUUAUUCCUUAUAUUUAAUUUUUGCUAUUCGGAACUGGCAUAUACCAAUGGUAAUGAUGAUUUUGAAAAAGGCAUAACGGAUGAUAGUAAUAAACAUAACGCUGAAAAAAUAACUAAGAAUAUAAAAGGCAAAACGAGACAAGAUAUAAGUGAUGAAGGAGCUGAUAUACUGGAUACAGAUUCGAAUACAGAGACAAAAAAAAAAGCUGGAUAUACGUUAGAUAAUGGUUAUGAAGAUUUAAUUAGUUAUCUGCACACACGUGGAAGCCACAUUACAUCUAACUUUUUUCAUAAUACCGCUAAUAUAGGUCGUUUAUUUACGACAAAUAUGAAUGACCUAUCUCCACUUGAGAAUAUGGGUUACUCAGUACUCUUUAUUAAUUAUACUAAAAACGAUCAGGAAAACGUAAACAAUAGUAUUAAAGGAAAUUUUUUUACAUGUCAAAAUAUUAACGAAAACAAUUGUGAUCAAACUGUUUCUAAUUCAUAUGAUCUUACUGCUCUCAAUGACGAAAAAGAUAAGCAUUAUGAAACCAUACGUACGCUAUCGGAUAUUUACACUACACAUAUAGAUAUCAAAGACACAAACUUUAAAUCAGGUUACGUCGCACAACUUAUAACGUACGCUAAAGAGGAAAUAAAUGAAGAAACAUUUAUUUCAUUAAAAGGAAAUAUUUUCAUAUGUGUAGGAAAAAUCAAUAGUUCAACAUGUAUAAUAAAAUACCCAUAUAAUGUGAGUCACGAUUAUCCAAAUUUG
rnacentral:lncRNA from 1 species